rnacentral:rRNA from 1 species
UCGAGCGAAUGGAUUGAGAGCUUGCUCUCAAGAAGUUAGCGGCGGACGGGUGAGCAACACGUGGGUAACCUGCCCAUGGGAUAACUCCGGGAAACCGGGGCUAAUACCGGAUAACAUUUUGAACUGCAUGGUUCGAAAUUGAAAGGCGGCUUCGGCUGUCACUUAUGGAUGGACCCGCGUCGCAUUAGCUAGUUGGUGAGGUAACGGCUCACCAAGGCAACGAUGCGUAGCCGACCUGAGAGGGUGAUCGGCCACACUGGGACUGAGACACGGCCCAGACUCCUACGGGAGGCAGCAGUAGGGAAUCUUCCGCAAUGGACGAAAGUCUGACGGAGCAACGCCGCGUGAGUGAUGAAGGCUUUCGGGUCGUAAAACUCUGUUGUUAGGGAAGAACAAGUGCUAGUUGAAUAAGCUGGCACCUUGACGGUACCUAACCAGAAAGCCACGGCUAACUACGUGCCAGCAGCCGCGGUAAUACGUAGGUGGCAAGCGUUAUCCGGAAUUAUUGGGCGUAAAGCGCGCGCAGGUGGUUUCUUAAGUCUGAUGUGAAAGCCCACGGCUCAACCGUGGAGGGUCAUUGGAAACUGGGAGACUUGAGUGCACAAGAGGAAAGUGGAAUUCCAUGU